rnacentral:rRNA from 1 species
GGAUGCGAUCAUACCAGCACUAAAGCACCGGAUCCCAUCAAAACUCCAAAGUUAAGCGUGCUUGGGCGAGAGUAUUACUUGGAUGGGUGACCUCCUGGGAAGUCCUCGUGUUGCAUUCC